GCUUGAAAUUUAAGUCAAUUGUCUGGAUGAAAUGUGUAAAUCCCCAUAUAACAGACAUUUAUCUCUUUCCAGACUUUUCAGUGCUCUGUGCGAGAUGAAAGCAUGCAAAUGGAUAAUCUUUUCUGGAGAUGAUUCCAUAUUUUUACUCCACUAGGAAUAAUUUCCUGAGGUGUGGUGUUCAGCUGUGCACACACAGUGUAAACAAUAUGGGAUGCAAGUACUUGUGCUUAACUCCAGGCGUAUGACCACUCCAGUUAACAUUUGUAAGAAUUUCCACAGGCUUAAAGAUGGUUAUUCAAUCCAUGAAUUAUGGGAUAGUCUGUAUCCACAUUAUCCCAAGAGAAUCCUUCUGAAAGAAUGUGACCUCUUUGCUCUUGUAGCUUAAAGUAAGCAUUGUUAAAACCAACAGCAACAAAAAAAUCAAUUGUCAUACAUACAAUGGGAAGAGAAAGUGAAGACAACUCUGUUGAGUUACUAAUGGACGUAGUGAAAUUCAGUGUUGAAGCCAUGCGGCUGGAGAUCAUGCCAUGAAAUGAAUGCACUGAAAAGGCUGAAUAAAAACACUUCAAUUGUACAGUUUCUAUGGAAAUAAAUAAAAGGCAUUACUUUUGGAGCAAUCUACGUGGAUGGGCUUGUUAUUUGAAACUGGAUCAAGCUUAACCAAGAUGUUUUUGUGCAUCAGCAGCUUGUGUCAUGUGGACAGGCUGAGACACAUCAUGCUCAGAUUCAUGAAAAACCAUUGCUUUAGCCAAACUUCCUCUGGCGAUUCUGCAGAUCAAUGGUUGGGUGACAAGUUAGAAGAGGCAGUGCCCUUCAUUCUGAGAUAGUACUGAACUCGCAUUGUUCCUGUACAGCCUACAAGCAAAAGAUGGAGUGUCAGCCUUUACAUCACUGCUGUAUCACUGGAAGAAAAUCAGAAGUUGAGCAGUCCCUUGCUUUUCUUGAUUCAGAUGAUGUAGUGCAAGGUGAAGUUUCAAGUUCCAAACUGUUUCCUAUGAUCAAUGAGGAAAGAAAGCUUGUGGUGAAAGAACUGAGAGUGGAGAGAUAGCAGUUUAUCAGCAUUGGUCUGUUGUAAUGGAGUAUGUAUACUUGUGUGUUAUAGGUUUCCAGUUUUCCCACUGUGCUCUAAAAGCUGUAUUCAAAGUAGGGGAGCACUUUCCUCCAUUAUCAGUGAAUCUGCUUUUGACAUCCUGUUAAAGGCCUACGCAAAUAGUCUUCAAAGAGGAGUAAAUGAAAGACACUAGUGAAAAGCAAAGUAUGACCAAAGGGCAAAGAUCUGUCAAAAGCACUUUAUCUUUCUUUGUUAUUGAGACAUGGACAGAUGUUUGUUCAUAACAAAAUGCCUGAGUGUGGGAUUUUGAAAGCCCUGAUCAGGAACUGUAUUUAAUUGCUGUUAAGAGUGCAGCCAUGUCCUAGCCACAGCUUGGGUUGGUUGUCCUAAACUGCUGUUUGUGGGGAUCCUAGGAGUAGAGCAGAAGUGUAUAUGUUUUUGCUGAGAUAGGGCUGUCAGUUCAGAAACACACUGAACAUCUGCUUUGGUUGAGCCCUGCGGUUAAACUAGAUUAAAGCUCCGUAUUAAAAUGAUCAUCAGUCAAUCAGAAUGCUGCCUCGGUCUGAGAAACAUAACAUCACGCUCAGCAUUGCAGUUUCCAAAGAAGCUGUUGUGUUGCAGUAAAUUAAUAAAUAAAUAAAGAAAUAAACAGUGA